UCUGAGUGUUUCCUUUAAGGACUCUUUUGGCACCUCUAAAAAUGGUGCAAAAUAGGGGUGGGCAACCUGGUGCCAGCAGCCGCGGUUAU
rnacentral:rRNA from 1 species